rnacentral:rRNA from 1 species
UAAACAAUUAACUUACACCAUCCAACGCCAGGGAACUACGAGCAAUGCUUAAAACCCAAAGGACUUGACGGUGUCCCACCCACCUAGAGGAGCCUGUUCUAUAAUCGAUGAUCCCCGCUACACCUAACCAUUCCUCGCUUUUUCAGUCUGUAUACCUCCGUCGAAAGCCUACCAUGUGAACGCUUAUAGUAGGCCCAAUGAUUCUCAUCAACACGUCAGGUCAAGGUGCAGCUCACGGAACGGAAAGCAAUGGGCUACAAUUUCUAACUUAGAACAUACGAAAGACUAUGUGAAAUCCUAGUCAUGAAGGCGGAUUUAGUAGUAAAAGGAAAAUAGAGUGUUCCUUUUAACCCGGCUCUGGGACGCGUACACAC